rnacentral:rRNA from 1 species
UACAGAGGGGGCGAGCGUUAUUCGGAAUUAUUGGGCGUAAAGGGCGCGUAGGCGGCCUUUCAAGUGACGGGUGAAAUCCCUCGGCUUAACCGAGGAACUGCCUGUCAGGCUGGAAGGCUUGAGACCGGGAGAGGUGAGUGGAAUUCCCAGUGUAGCGGUGAAAUGCGUAGAUAUUGGGAGGAACACCAGUGGCGAAGGCGGCUCACUGGACCGGUACUGACGCUGAGGCGCGAAAGCGUGGGGAGCAAACAGG